UACGGGGGGGGGCAAGCGUUGUUCGGAAUUACUGGGCGUAAAGGGCUCGUAGGCGGCCAACUAAGUCAGACGUGAAAUCCCUCGGCUUAACCGGGGAACUGCGUCUGAUACUGGAUGGCUUGAGAUUGGGAGAGGGAUGCGGAAUUCCAGGUGUAGCGGUGAAAUGCGUAGAUAUCGGGAGGAACACCAGUGGCGAAGGCGACUACCUGGCCUGUAACUGACGCUGAGACGCGAAAGCGUGGGGAGCAAACCGG
rnacentral:rRNA from 1 species